AAAGAAAUCGGCUAGAUUAGGUGUUCCACCAACUUCCAUCAAACCCCCUACGAGGUUCUUGAAAUCUUGAGAUGAGACAGAAUCAUACUCAGCUAAAUCGAUGGAGAAGAUGAAGUUCGAGAGAACGUUAAGAGUUGUGGUGCUGACUAGCGUCAAGUUGGGUUAUGGAGAACAAAUGCUCUUUGGAUAUUUUUCGUAGCCUACGCCAUUGAUCUCCAACUGGCAACCAAACCAUGGAGAUUUUAUGGCGAUCGUGUGCAUGAGCAGCAUAUGGGAUUGAUCUGCUGGAGAAGGAAAUGUCAUGUUUUGAAAAGAAUUCUUGAGCGAUUUCACGCGAGGAGACAACUAUCAUGGUGGUGCUUCCGAGCUUAAGGGACAUCAAUGGUCCAUAUGUUUUUGAGAGGGUGGCAAGCGAGUGGUGUGGUUUCUUUCCGAGUUUAAAGAUGCUUCCGAUGACCGGAAGUGGGUAUGGGCCCGGCGGCAGUCUGGUGGAGAGACGAUGGUUGGAUUGGGUGAUGAAGAUAUAAACCCAUGACAAAAUGGAGAGUAAGAUUAAUAUGAUUGUGUAGUACUCCAUCUUGUUCUAAUCAUACUAAAAUUGAUGUUCAUCGGAUCAUGGUGUUGAAUUUAUAGCGGUGGUUCUUGUUGGAGUCAAGGAUGGAGAAAAGGAAAUCAAUGGCAGAAAAGCUCACCUGUUCAAAGACAAGGACAAGACUAAUUCUUUUUUGAACCAUAAAAGGAGUACUCGGUCCAUCAAUCGUCAUACGAUGAUACGAAGUUACGAACAUGCUUAAUGGUGAAAUAUAGAAAAUACCAAGUCAAAUGAAAACUUACCUUUCCUCGAUAAAAAAAAAUGAUUUUAGUUGUUAA